GUCCAGUGCCAGCUUGAAGACUGCCAGGGGUCUGUUGGUAAUCCCCCUUAUGUAUGCUGGGAGGCAGUUGAACAGUCUCGGGCCCCUGACACUUAUUGUAUGGUCUCUUAACGUGCUAGUGACACCCCUGCUUUUCAUUGGGGGGAUGUUGCAUCGUCUGCCAAGUCUUUUGCUUUCGUAGUGAGUGAUUUUCAUGUGCAAGUUCGGUACUAGUCCCUCUAGGAUUUCCCAGGUGUAUAUAAUCAUGUAUCUCUCCCGCCUGCGUUCCAGGGAAUACAGGUUCAGGAACCUCAAGCGCUCCCAGUAAUUGAGGUGUUUUAUCUCCGUUAUGCGCGCCGUGAAAGUUCUCUGUACAUUUUCUAGGUCAGCAAUUUCACUUGCCUUGAAAGGUGCAGACUGAAUAUAAAUAUCAAAUACAUCUAAUGCAUUCAAAACCAUGCAUCUGUUAUCCCUAUUUUAUUUUUCUAAAACUCUUAAUAAUUACAUGUACUAUAAAAGUAAAAGAAGGUCUUAGCAAUGUGUGAUGUCACAAUGAUUGUUUAACAUAUUUAUGGAUGGGGUCGUAUAAGCAGCGAAUACUAGUGUGUUGGGAAGAAAGGUGUAGGAUUAAAAGACAGUGAAUCUGAUACAAAGUGUGAGUUAUCACUGAUGCUCUUUACCUAUUGCACAGAUUUUAGGGAAAUUCUGAAGAGAAGCUUCAAAGGUUGGUGGAUCAAUUUGAAAGGGUGAUAUAAAAGAAGGAAAUUAAAAGUGAACAUAAAAAAGUGCAAGGUGAUGAGAGUAACAAGAACUACAAGCAAUCUGAGACUGGAUAUCAGAGUGGAGGGAGUGUGAAAGCAGCAAAUGUAUAUAGAUAUAUGGGAGUAGACAUAUUGGCAGACUGAUUUUUGAAAGAAGAGGUAAAGCAUAGAAUAGACAUGGGGAAAAAAAAAAAGGUAGAUACCUGUUGAAAAAAAAAAGUUUAUCUAUGUUGAAAAAAAAAACCUGAAAUACCCACACUUUUAUAUGGGUGUGAGGCAUAAACUUUAAAUGAUGCAGCAAGGAGGAGGCUGGAGGCAGAGAUGUCAUGUUUAAGAGUAAUGUGUGGUGUGAAUGUUAUGAAUAGAUUUUGAAGCACAAUACGACACCCAUAUUGGAGGGUUCGGUUAUCUGCUGUUCACGGUGGCCC